rnacentral:tRNA from 1 species
GACCCUAAAAAGUCCUUUAAACA